rnacentral:rRNA from 1 species
UACGUAGGGUGCAAGCGUUAAUCGGAAUUACUGGGCGUAAAGAGCUCGUAGGCGGUCCGUCACGUCGGCUGUGAAAACCUGGGGCUCAACCCCGGGCCUGCAGCUGAUACGGGCGGACUAGAAUUCGGUAGGGGAGACUGGAAUUCCUGGUGUAGCGGUGAAAUGCGCAGAUAUCAGGAGGAACACCGGUGGCGAAGGCGGGUCUCUGGGCCGAUAUUGACGCUGAGGAGCGAAAGCGUGGGGAGCGAACAGG